UUGCAGGAUGGUGAUAUAAUCAAUAUUGAUGUCACUGUGUAUCUAAAUGGUUAUCAUGGUUAUACGUCAGCAACUUUCUUUUGUGGAGAUGUUGAUGAGGAAGCAAGGAAACUUGUGAAGGUAACCAAAGAAUGCCUAGAUAAAGCUAUAGCAAUAUGUGCAUCAGGAGUGGAGUUCAAGAAAAUUGGCAAAAACGAUU